rnacentral:piRNA from 1 species
UGGACUCCAGGGCAUUCGCAGAGUC